UCUAUCUUGUUCGCAUGAUCGCGUCUACAUGCCCGGCGCCGCUCGCGCAGUCGCACGCCAACGCCCCCCGCCGGCCCGCUCCUCCCUCUUGCACUGCCUCCAGUCCUCCACCUUUGCAUUUGUUCCUAGACUCCCAGGCCUCUAAUUCUUCUUUGGAGCAACAAGGACAGUAGCAGACAGUUCUCGCUUCAUCAACCCUCUCUGGUCUGGUCUCUGACGAUCUGCAGUUUGAGCAGCAGCAAGACCAAGGCUUCGAAGAACCGGAUCAGCAGCAGCAGUUUGAGGAAGGCAAGUGGCCCUUGAUCAUACUUGUUGACCCCAAAAAAAUCAUUAAAUUCAUUUUACUUUAUAUACGCAUGCAUGAGUCUAUAAUAUGAUGGGUCCCGAUUAAGGAUAUGCCUAGCUUUGUUUACCCUUCCUCGACCAAACUUGGGUUAUUUAAUUUAUGUUGGGUAGCAAUUGCUAGUUGCUUUUACAUCGGGUUAUGGUUGGUUUAAAUCAAGACAAUCGAUACACUUGUUAUACUUCAUGUUCUUGAUGGUUUAAUACUGUUAAACAAUAUCAUAUAUUUUAAUCGGAACAUGGAGAAUCACCCAGGAAAACCAUACAACCACAAUACCAUAUGGCUCUGGUCUUGGCUAAGUAAUUGGAUGAACUAUAUGUUGUGAUUGGGGGCGUUGGCUUGGUGGUUAUGAGUUUGUGUUUGGUGGAGCGGGCGAAAGAAGCUUCGUCUUCUGAGGUACCGCUGAAAAUCAGGGACCAGCACAUACAUAUAGUGAUUCCUUGGAAAGGCCUCGUAGCGUCCCUAUGCAAUCACACCUCGGAAGUGUGAUAUUGUGCCUGGCCCGCACAACGUGGUUGGGUUUAAAGUUUUUUGAACUUUUACGCGAAUUGUGGUGAAAGUGUACAACUUCUGCAGAGUGUAAAACUGAUAUAUCAGCCGUGCUCACGAUCAUGAGCGGCUUGGACCCUCACAUGGUAAUUGAACUUGAAGAUGAUCUAAAUCGAUGUUAUUUAUUUAUGUUGCUCUGUUAUUUCUUUCAUAUGCUUAUCUUGUGUGUUAAUGAUAUAAAUUUAUACUUAGUUAAUGCUUGCUAAUAAAACUUGACCAACUAAAAGUGCUUAAUGCAGUUAAACCGUGUCAGCUAUUCCUUGUUUUGGCCUUGCAUGUAAUAUAGUUUUUCCAUACCACUUGUUGAGUACCAACUAUAAGUGUACUUAUCCUUGCAUAAUUGCUGCUCAGACCAAGAUAACUGUCCGGGUUACCAAGAAGAUUUCGAGGAUUUCUAGGCGUAUGUCUCUCAGUCAUCUGCCUGUGAAGUUGAAGAUCCGUUGCUACUCUAUAAAUGUUUAGUUAUUUGCUUAAGUUUAAGACAUUCGGUCAUGUAAUAAAGUUCUUAAUACUCUCUUUCGUUAUGGCAUUGUGAUGGUAUACACUUUAUUUAAGUC